UACGUAGGGGGCAAGCGUUGUCCGGAAUCAUUGGGCGUAAAGAGCGUGUAGGCGGCUCGAUAAGUCUGCUGUGAAAGUCCAGGGCUCAACCCUGGAAGGCCGGUGGAAACUGUCGGGCUAGAGUCCGGAAGAGGCGAGUGGAAUUCCCGGUGUAGCGGUGAAAUGCGCAGAUAUCGGGAGGAACACCAAUGGCGAAGGCAGCUCGCUGGGACGGUACUGACGCUGAGACGCGAAAGCGUGGG
rnacentral:rRNA from 1 species